rnacentral:lncRNA from 1 species
AGCUGAACCAUCGCUACGUAUACGAAUCUUGAAGUUCAGUUAUCUUGGAUGAUUCUUUGUCUGGCAAUGUCUGUCUAUGACAAAAGCGACAUCUGGUAUGUUGAAUUUCUCACUGUGCUAUCUAAAGUAUAUUAUAAAGUACAAAUACUUCAUCAAACGAUGAUUAAUUAAAAUUGAUGUAGUUAACUUCAUUGUCGCGCUUAGCUUGUGAAUGUAUUACUAUAACUAAGCGAUUUUCGCUUCAUAGUAUUUAUUGGUGCCGUGGGUUGCAAAUGUAAAGGUCCAUAUGGACACACCGGACGCGAUUCAACAACGCGACGCGAUUUUUCGAUUUUCACUGACCGAUAACUUUGAUCCUAGUUAUAAUUUUCCAAAUAUUUGAA